rnacentral:rRNA from 1 species
UGAAGUUGGAAUCGCUAGUAAUCGCAGAUCAGCACGCUGCGGUGAAUACGUUCCCGGGCCUUGUACACACCGCCCGUCACACCACGGGAGUUGAUUGUACCAGAAGUAGUUGAGCUAACCGCAAGGAGGCAGGCUACCAAGGUAUGGUUGGUAACUGGGGUGAAGUCGUAACAAGGUAACCGU